rnacentral:rRNA from 1 species
UACGAAGGGGGCUAGCGUUGCUCGGAAUCACUGGGCGUAAAGGGCGCGUAGGCGGCCAUUCAAGUCAGAGGUGAAAGCCCAAGGCUCAACCUUGGAACUGCCUUUGAUACUGUUCGGCUUGAGACCGGUAGAGGUAAGUGGAACUGCGAGUGUAGAGGUGAAAUUCGUAGAUAUUCGCAAGAACACCAGUGGCGAAGGCGGCUUACUGGACCGGUUCUGACGCUGAGGCGCGAAAGCGUGGGGAGCAAACAGG